AGACCAGCAGCCCCCUCUGCACAUGGAGGACAGGUCCCAUGGGUGGUCACAAGAGUCAAAUCCACAGGGGAGCCUGGAAGCAGGAGCGCUGGCUUGGAGCCAUUCAGCCCGGGGCUGGGGUCCAGGGUCUCUCCUUCUCUACCUGUGGGCAUGGGCAAGUCACACGGCCUUUCUCAGCCUCAGUGUCCCCAUCUGAAGCACGAGGACAGCAGACUCCUCGUCCUGACUGCUGAACGAGCAAACCCUGACACAGAGCCGUUGCGUGGCGACAUUAUCAUCCGAACGCUCGCUCGGCGCGGGGUGGGGGGGUGAAUACGAGAACAGAGACAUGACAGCCUCCCCCAGCUCCCCAGGGACAGCCCCGCGGCCCCCGCCAGCCCUGAUGGAAGUGCAGAUGUGAUCUCUGAAGGAGACGGGUCCCCUGGUCGCUGUCUCCAGAUGUGACGCCCUUGGGAGGCCGUGGGGAACACUCUGGAUUGGAGAGUGGGGACGUUCCACUGGGGUCUGGUGCCCGGUGCUGUGUGGGACGGCAGCCGCAGGCCACAUGGAGCUGUGGAGCCCAGGAGGGAUGAAAAACAGACUGGACUUGGAGGACUUCGGAUGAAAAAUAAUGAAGAGAGCUCUCCAAUGAUCCUUUGUACUCAUGACGUGUGGAAAUGACAGUGUUUCCAUGUGUUGGGUUAAAUAAAAUAUGUGGUAACAGA